GCCGGCGUGGUGUAAUUGGUAACACACCAGAGUCUAGAGGAGGGAGGCGUGCACCUCAGCGGUGCGGGGGAUCUUGGUUCGAAUCCAGGUGCCGGCA